GACGAACGCUGGCGGCGUGCUUAACACAUGCAAGUCGAACGGAAAGGCCUUUUCGGAGGUACUCGAGUGGCGAACGGGUGAGUAACACGUGGGUGAUCUGCCCUGCACUCUGGGAUAAGCCUGGGAAACUGGGUCUAAUACCGGAUAGGACCGCACUUUAGUGUGUGUGGUGGCAAGUUUUUUCGGUGUAGGAUGAGCCCGCGGCCUAUCAGCUUGUUGGUGGGGUAAUGGCCUACCAAGGCGGCGACGGGUAGCCGGACUGAGAGGUUGGUCGGCCACAUUGGGACUGAGAUACGGCCCAGACUCCUACGGGAGGCAGCAGUGGGGAAUAUUGCACAAGGGGCGCAAGCCGGAUGCAGCGACGCCGCGUGGGGGAUGACGGCCUUCGGGUUGUAAACUCCUUUCGCCAGGGACGAAGCGUUUUGUGACGGUACCUGGAGAAGAAGCACCUGCUAACUACGUG
rnacentral:rRNA from 1 species